rnacentral:rRNA from 1 species
UAAUGGGUCAGCGACUUAUAUUCAGUGGCAAGGUUAACCAUCUAGGGGAGCCGUAGGGAAACCGAGUCUUAACUGGGCGUUCAGUCUCUGGAUAUAGACCCGAAACCAGGUGAUCUAGCCAUGGGCAGGUUGAAGGUUGAGUAACAUCAACUGGAGGACCGAACCGACUAAUGUUGAAAAAUUAGCGGAUGACUUGUGGCUAGGGGUGAAAGGCCAAUCAAACCUGGAGAUAGCUGGUUCUCCCCGAAAGCUAUUUAGGUAGCGCCUCGGACGAAUACUACUGGGGGUAGAGCACUGUUAAGGCUAGGGGGUCAUCCCGACUUACCAACCCUUUGCAAACUCCGAAUACCAGUAAGUACUAUCCGGGAGACACACGGCGGGUGCUAACGUCCGUCGUGGAGAGGGAAACAACCCAGACCGCCAGCUAAGGUCCCAAAUUACUACUAAGUGGGAAACGAUGUGGGAAGGCUCAGACAGCCAGGAUGUUGGCUUAGAAGCAGCCAUCAUUUAAAGAAAGCGUAAUAGCUCACUGGUCGAGUCGGCCUGCGCGGAAGAUGUAACGGGGCUAAGUAGUAAACCGAAGCUGCGGCAAUAUACUUUUGUAUAUUGGGUAGGGGAGCGUUCUGUAAGCGGUUGAAGGUGUGUGGUAACGCAUGCUGGACGUAUCAGAAGUGCGAAUGCUGACAUGAGUAACGAUAAAGGGGGUGAAAAACCUCCUCGCCGGAAGACCAAGGGUUCCUGUCCAACGUUAAUCGGGGCAGGGUAAGUCGACCCCUAAGGCGAGGCCGAAAGGCGUAGUCGAUGGGAAACGGGUUAAUAUUCCCGUACUUCUUACAAUUGCGAUGGGGGGACGGAGAAGGCUAGGUGGGCCUGGCGACGGUUGUCCAGGUUCAAGUGCGUAGGCUUAAGAGUUAGGUAAAUCCGGCUCUUUUUAAGGCUGAGACACGACGUCGAGCACCUACGGGUGUGAAGUCAUUGAUGCCAUGCUUCCAGGAAAAGCCUCUAAGCUUCAGAUUGUAAGGAAUCGUACCCCAAACCGACACAGGUGGUCGGGUAGAGAAUACCAAGGCGCUUGAGAGAACUCGGGUGAAGGAACUAGGCAAAAUGGUACCGUAACUUCGGGAGAAGGUACGCUCUUGAUGGUGAAGUCCCUUGCGGAUGGAGCUGACGAGAGUCGCAGAUACCAGGUGGCUGCAACUGUUUAUUAAAAACACAGCACUGUGCAAAAUCGUAAGAUGACGUAUACGGUGUGACGCCUGCCCGGUGCCGGAAGGUUAAUUGAUGGGGUUAGACUUCGGUCGAAGCUCUUGAUCGAAGCCCCGGUAAACGGCGGCCGUAACUAUAACGGUCCUAAGGUAGCGAAAUUCCUUGUCGGGUAAGUUCCGACCUGCACGAAUGGCGUAAUGAUGGCCACGCUGUCUCCACCCGAGACUCAGUGAAAUUGAAAUCGCUGUGAAGAUGCAGUGUACCCGCGGCUAGACGGAAAGACCCCGUGAACCUUUACUACAGCUUGGCACUGAACAUUGACCCUACAUGUGUAGGAUAGGUGGGAGGCUUUGAAGCACGUACGCCAGUAUGUGUGGAGCCGUCCUUGAAAUACCACCCUUGUAGUGUUGAUGUUCUAACGUCGACCCCUUAUCGGGGUUGCGGACAGUGCCUGGUGGGUAGUUUGACUGGGGCGGUCUCCUCCCAAAGAGUAACGGAGGAGCACGAAGGUGGGCUAAUCACGGUUGGACAUCGUGAGGUUAGUGCAAUGGCAUAAGCCCGCUUGACUGCGAGAAUGACAAUUCGAGCAGGUGCGAAAGCAGGUCAUAGUGAUCCGGUGGUUCUGAAUGGAAGGGCCAUCGCUCAACGGAUAAAAGGUACUCCGGGGAUAACAGGCUGAUACCGCCCAAGAGUUCAUAUCGACGGCGGUGUUUGGCACCUCGAUGUCGGCUCAUCACAUCCUGGGGCUGAAGUCGGUCCCAAGGGUAUGGCUGUUCGCCAUUUAAAGUGGUACGCGAGCUGGGUUUAGAACGUCGUGAGACAGUUCGGUCCCUAUCUGCCGUGGGCGUUGGAAGAUUGAAGGGGGCUGCUCCUAGUACGAGAGGACCGGAGUGGACGAACCUCUGGUGUUCGGGUUGUGUCGCCAGACGCAUUGCCCGGUAGCUAAGUUCGGAAUCGAUAACCGCUGAAAGCAUCUAAGCGGGAAGCGAGCCCUGAGAUGAGUCUUCCCUGAUACUUUAAGUAUCCUAAAGGGUUGUCGGAGACUACGACGUUGAUAGGUCAGGUGUGUAAGUGCUGUGAGGCAUUGAGCUAACUGAUACUAAUUGCCCGUGAGGCUUAACC